rnacentral:rRNA from 1 species
UACAGAGACCACGAGCGUUAUCCGAAUUUAUUGGGCGUAAAGCGUCCGCAGGUGGUUAUGAAAGUCAUUUGUUAAAUCUUUGGGCUCAACCCAAAGUCUGCAGGUGAUACUUCAUGGCUAGAGGCCGGGAGAGGUAGAUGGAAUUGCUGGUGUAGCGGUAAAAUGCGUUAAUAUCAGCAAGAACACCAAAGGCGAAAGCAGUCUACUAGAACGGUCCUGACACUCAGGGACGAAAGCGUGGGUAGCGAAUGGG